rnacentral:sRNA from 1 species
CUUAUUAAGGCAUAAUUUGUUUUUUUGUUUUAACAUCAAAAAUCCAAACCCCUCCAAAAAUUUAAAGAAAAAUUACCACAAAUGUGAAUGAGUAUUGUUUUAGUUUCAAUUCAAAUCAAAAAAAAAAAAGAACAAUGCACUAACAUAAAGUUUUUAACCAAUGUUUUUGUAUUUGAAUCUUAAAAUACUAUUAAUAAUUUAUACAAAUAUGAAAAACUACACUGUGAGAAAGAGAAAAUCCAAAGACUAUCUCUUUCUAUCUCUCCCUUAAGUGGGAAGGAGAUCAACCAACAAAUUUAUUAACUAAUUAUAGUAAUAUUUAUCAUAAAUGAUUCGUAAGAAGAUGAAUAUUGAAUAUUGAAAUUAAUACAAUUUGUUCUUUAUAUGAUGAAUGAGAAAAAGAAACAAUAACAACAUCUAGCACUACUCAACAUAUAUGUUAUACACAUGAUAUGUCUUAAACAAAAGUUCAAAAGAAAUUGGAAUCACUAAUUUUUAGCUUUUUUAAAUGGAGCCUCAAAUGUUUUCCACCCUUCUUUAUCAUUAGCAAAUGACAUACCUAGCCAUUAAAUAUAGAAUUAAAUUCUUUAAAUUAUCUUUAAAUUAAGAACAAAUAACUUUUAAAGUAUAUAUUGAAAGCUUGCCGAAUAUCCUUUCAGUUUUAAAUAUUUGCACUUCUCAUAUAUAUGGUUGAGUAAUAAGUAUUUAGUGUUUUUUUUUAUUUCUUGAAUAUUCAAAAAUGUAGCCAAUUCAACCUACUUUCUUACUCAUUGACCAGACAGCAAGCGGUAAAGUUGGUAAUUCGUUAGUGCAAUAUGUGAUAUUUAAAGUCUGGUAGAGCUGGCAAAAUAUCGAUGGCAUUAUCGAUUGAUAUUUUUCCCAUGGAUACCAUCGCAAAAUGUAAUUUUUUUGCAAAACUAAACAAAAAUAUGCAAUCCGAUACUCAAUGUAUUCUUUGAGAUACAUUGGGCCUAUAGAGGGCGCAAUUUUCAUCCAAUUAGACCAGCGCUUCCUAUUCAUUUCAGAAAUAAACUCCUGCGUAGACGACAUGGUAGAUGUCAGACAGUGACAUUGGUUUAGUUGAAACGCACAUUUCCUAUUACUCAACCAAAUAUAUAUUUUUUUAUUUUAUCCUCUCAACAACAGUAAACGCACAUUAUUUGAUGUUUAUUCUUUGCAGCCUUUAUCCACUUCUAGAAUUACCAUUGUAUUUUUGUCACAAUUGAGUGUGGCCAACUAAAGAAAUUCCUUGAUUGUGAGCUAGGCAGAGCUAGUUUUAAAAGAAUUAUUAUUUCAGGUAACAUACAUGUUUGCAAGUUUUCAUUGCAAAUUUUAGAAAGCUUUGAAAGUUUAAAACGGUUUUACCUACUCAGUUAAAUAAUCCGAUUUGUACUGAGUGAUUUGUUUCUUUUUUUGGCCUGCGCUUAGUGGCCCGUAACACAUAGAUGAUUCACAAUGAAAUAAUAGUAGCAUUCACAAUAAUAAACUAAAUAAAUUGCUAUUCAAAAUUAAUUGCUUGGUAAUGAUUUCUUUAGGUAUAUUUAAAAAAAAAAAAACGCUCUGUUAUAUCAAGUUUUAAGAAUUUUAAUUAAAUUCAUCAUGAAAGAUCUCCCCCAUAUAUUUUAAAUAUUAUUAAAUUGUGAUCAAACAAACAUUGUUUUCCUAAAUAGCUAAAUAUCAUCGUCAGGUUUUUUAAAUUGAUAAAAUUUAAAUAAUGUAAAAAAGAAAGUACUUUUUUGCUUUGAUAGAAGUUUUAUAAAAAGUAAUUAAAGUAAGUUGAUUAUUUUUAACUCGACCUUAUUUAUUUAAUAUUGUUGUUUUUAAUUCAAGCUCGAGGUCUUUCUGUUUUUUCUCUUUUCUUUAUUAUUUAUGUAUCGAUAUUUCGCAUUUAAAUGAAAUGCUUUUUCAAGAUAUGAUCUACAACAAAUUACAUUUAUUUUUAAACUAUUGACAUCACUGUUUCUAUUUGUUAUUUAACUAACAUAUAUAUAUAAAUGAGAAACAAAACACAAACAAAAACUAUGCGACCGUCUUCAACAAUUGUUGUCUGCUUUGCUACUGUCUUGUAGUUUCUCUUAUUGGACUUUGUUCAGUCGUUGUACCAACAGUCUAUAGUUGCUCGCGCAUCCCUAUAUGUAUGCUUUGUAAUUCAUUCGUUUUGUUGUUGUCGUGUUGAUGAUGUGUAGCAUUUCUAAUGUUAGUCUCUUGUUGUAAUUUAUCUCGUUAUCUAUGAUUUUUACUCUCUCCAAGUCUGGCCUCUAAGUUAUGCCCUGCCAGUCUAUCUAAAAACGGCAUUAGCAGAAUACUGUGCAACAGAACAUCAUGAGCCAGGCUUAGAGAGAGUAAGAAUAAUAGAUAACGAGAUAAAUUACAACAAGAGACUAACACUAGAAACGCUAAACAUCAUCAACAAGACAACAACAAAACGCAUGAAAUACAAAGCAGACACAUAGGGAUGCGCGAGACUGUUGUAGACUGUUGGUACAACGACUGAACAAAGUCCAAUAAGAGAAACUACAAGACAGUAGCAAAGCAGACAACGACUGUUGAAGACGGUCGCAUAAAGUUUUUGUUUGUGUUUUGUUUCUCAUUUAGAUAUAUCAUAUCUUGAAAAUGCAUUUCAUUCAAAUGCGAAAUAUCGAUACAUAAAUAAUAAAGAAAAGAGAAAAAAGAGAAAGACCUCGAGCUUAAAUUAAAAACAACAAUAGUAAUUUAAUUAAAAAUGCUUUAAUAAAAUUAUGUCUGAAUUCUGCUUAUUAGCAGUGAUUAAAGCAAAAUUCUUUUUUGUAAUGUCCCACUAUUAAAGCUAAAAAUAUGAUUUGACAAAAUAAAAAAGAACUAAGACAGUUUACACAUUUUGUCUGAGUAGUGUAUGAAUUUUAAUUCACAU